rnacentral:rRNA from 1 species
UACGGAGGGGGCGAGCGUUAUUCGGAAUUAUUGGGCGUAAAGAGCUCGUAGGCGGUGUGUCGCGUCGGCCGUGAAAACCUGCAGCUUAACUGUGGGCUUGCGGUCGAUACGGGCAUCACUGGAGUUCGGCAGGGGAGACUGGAAUUCCUGGUGUAGCGGUGAAAUGCGCAGAUAUCAGGAGGAACACCGGUGGCGAAGGCGGGUCUCUGGGCCGAUACUGACGCUGAGGAGCGAAAGCGUGGGGAGCGAACAGG